rnacentral:rRNA from 1 species
CCCGCACAAGCGGAGGAGCAUGUGGUUUAAUUCGAUGAUACGCGAGGAGCCUUACCUGGGCUCGAACGUAAGAUGACUGUAGGUGAAAGCUUACAUCUCUUCGGAGCAUUUUACGAGGUGCUGCAUGGUUGUCGUCAGCUCGUGCCGUGAGGUGUCGGGUUAAGUCCCAUAACGAGCGCAACCCUACCUUUAGUUGCCAUCAGGUAAUGCUGGGGACUCUAAAGGAACUGCCUACGCAAGUAGUGAGGAAGGCGGGGAUGACGUCAAAUCAGCACGGCCCUUACGUCCAGGGCUACACACGUGCUACAAUGGCCGAUACAGAGGGCAGCUACCUGGUGACAGGAUGCAAAUCUCCAAAGUCGGUCUCAGUUCGGAUCGGAGUCUGCAACCCGACUCCGUGAAGUUGGAUUCGCUAGUAAUCGCGCAUCAGCCAUGGCGCGGUGAAUACGUUCCCGGGCCUU